UACGUAGGGUGCAAGCGUUGUCCGGAAUUAUUGGGCGUAAAGAGCGUGUAGGCGGUCCGGUAAGUCCGCUGUGAAAGUCCAGGGCUCAACCCUGGAAUGCCGGUGGAUACUGCCGGGCUAGAGUCCGGAAGAGGCGAGUGGAAUUCCUGGUGUAGCGGUGAAAUGCGCAGAUAUCAGGAGGAACACCGAUGGCGAAGGCAGCUCGCUGGGACGGUACUGACGCUGAGACGCGAAAGCGUGGGGAGCAAACAGG
rnacentral:rRNA from 1 species